rnacentral:lncRNA from 1 species
GUGCGGAGCCCGGCCUCUCUGGCGUCCCCUGGCGCGGUCGGCGGGGCAACUCGCCUUUCCCGCCCCCCCCCCUUUUUUUUUAAAUAAUCAUAAAUCACCUUUUUUUUCCCCCCCCUUUUUUUAUAGUAAAUAACGCGGCUCUGUUUGCCAGCGCGCUGAGGAGAGGGUGGGCGGGAGGCCCCCUGCUAGGCGGGCUGCCUGUGUUUCACACCGUCGUUUUCCAACUUACCUCGCUGCGCGCGAAGAGGGCGUUUGCCUGACAGAAAUACCUCGUGGGCCUGCGCGGUGGGGCUCGAAACUCGGAGAUAAAAUCGGGAAAAUUCGGGCAGUGGCUGGAAGGCAGAGCAGAUGUUGCAAGUUUAUCCUAAGCCUGAAACGGAAUAUUGUUUGAGGUGGUGGCUGCGCAGUCAGAGCCACGACAGUCAGCUCGGCCCCGGUGGGCUCACAGCGGUUUUCCGUGUGAAAACCAUCACAGCGAGYGAACAGAAGUUUUACAAAGCAUUCUGCUUGCCCCCUCGCUGGCUGGCAGACAGAGUCCUGCAUUCCAGAACGUCUCCGUUGCACGCAUGGGCUGGGACAGCACAGCAGAACGCAGAAACGUGGUGAAUUGCUGAAAUCCACCAAAUAUAAUAGUGGUGAGCAACAAUAGAGAAGCAGAGGUAACUGGAUGUGGAGUGGAAAUGUAUGCCCACACCAACUAAAUGCUUUCUGGAUUCUUCUCUUUAAGUGGACAGCUCUGCUAUGGCUUUGAAGAAAACACUGAAACCAAAGUUGAUAAGCAAUGCAGCGGUGCUGGCCUGAGUCCACAGAAGGUGUGCAGCAGUAGCUCUGAGAGGUAAGGUGCUCCUCUGUCUUACUGCUGACAUAUCACAGCUAUCAGCA